rnacentral:rRNA from 1 species
AGCGAACGCUGGCGGCGUGCCUAACACAUGCAAGUCGAGUGCGCAGUCUGGUGUAGCAAUACAUCAGGCCGGCGCACGGCGCACGGGUGAGUAACACGUGGGCAAUCUGCCCUCCAAUAGGGGAUAACCCGCCGAAAGGCGGGCUAAUACCGUAUGACAUUCCGGGGACCUCGGUCCUUGGAUUCAAAGGUCGCAAGGCCGUUGGGGGAGGAGCCCGCGCCCGAUUAGCUAGUUGGCGAGGUAAUGGCUCACCAAGGCUUUGAUCGGUAGCCGGUCUGAGAGGAUGGCCGGCCACACUGGAACUGAGACACGGUCCAGACUCCUACGGGAGGCAGCAGUGGGGAAUAUUGCGCAAUGGGCGAAAGCCUGACGCAGCGACGCCGCGUGGGGGAUGAAGCUUCUCGGAGUGUAAACCCCUUUCGACCCGGAAGAAUGUCCCGCAAGGGAUUGACGGUACGGGUAUAAGAAGCCCCGGCUAACUACGUGCCAGCAGCCGCGGUAAUACGUAGGGGGCCAGCGUUGCUCGGAAUUACUGGGCGUAAAGGGUUCGUAGGCGGUGCGGCAAGUCGGAAGUGAAAUUCCUGGGCUCAACUCAGGGGCUGCUCCCGAAACUGCCGUGCUUGAGUGCGGGAGGGGCGAGUGGAAUUACAGGUGUAGCGGUGAAAUGCGUAGAUAUCUGUAGGAACACCCGUGGCGAAGGCGGCUCGCUGGACCGCAACUGACGCUGAGGAACAAAGCUAGGGGAGCAAACAGGAUUAGAUACCCUGGUAGUCCUAGCCCUAAACGAUCAGGACUUGGGGUGCAUCCCGUUGGGGGUGCGUCCCGUAGCUAACGCGUUAAGUCCUGCGCCUGGGGAGUACGGUCGCAAGGCUG